UUUCCGUAGGUGAACCUGCGGAAGGAUCAUUCAUAAUAAGUGUUUUAUGGCACUUUUUUAAAUCCAUAUCCACCUUGUGUGCAAUGUCAGGGUUGAUUUUUCUCUCGAGAGGAUCAACCCCAAACAUCAACUAUAUCUCAACUCUCUGUCUGAAAAAUAUUAUGAAUAAAACAAUUCAAAAUACAACUUUCAACAACGGAUCUCUUGGCUCUC
rnacentral:misc_RNA from 1 species